rnacentral:rRNA from 1 species
GACGGAGGGUGCAAGCGUUGUUCGGAUUGACUGGGCGUAAAGGGCGUGUAGGCGGUUGGUCAAGUCUGAUGUGAAAGCCCGGGGCUCAGCUCCGGAAGGGCAUCGGAAACUAGCCAGCUGGAGCGCGAUAGAGGAGGGCGGAAUUCCUGGUGUAGCGGUGAAAUGCGUAGAUAUCUGGAGGAACACCGGUGGCGAAGGCGGCAUGCUGGACCUCAACUGACGCUGAGGCGCGAAAGCCAGGGAGCAAAGCGGG